CCUCUCCACGCCAAAGAACCGAUAGGAGAGAACCACACCCGAGAGCCACCGCCGCUCCCCUUCGUCCGUGUCGACGCCAUGGUCUGCGCCGAGGCAAGCUGAGGGCGCCAGAAGAACAGCCUCGCCGUCCUCUUCUACCUGGCGGGUGGAAUCGAGCCGGGGGGCCUCCAGUCAACGCCAAGCUCGCCGUUUCCCUUCUCCGACCACCGGCAGAAAACUCGUCGAUUCCGCCGAAGCGGCGACUCCGACCGCGCCUCGCUCACCCGACUCCAUCAGCCCCCUCCCGGUUACGAUGAAGUCCUCAAUUGUUGUAAUAUUGGUUGUUCUCAUGAUGAUGAGCUCUAGCUAUGUUCAACAACGUGCCUGGAUAAAUGACCAACUCCGAAGCAUUGUCAUUGGGCGGGUGAUGCGACUUCUCAGAUUCAAUGAUCUUUUCGAAGCCAUUGCAUGGUCUUUGCAGUUAGCUCGGUUGGCCUUGUGUAACAAGGAGAGCCAUGGAACUGUGAAGUAUUUUCCUAUUCGUGUCCAAUUGGGUCUUCAGAAGCCAUUUUUCACUGAGGGAGAAGACCUGGACAAAUAUAUUGCUAGGAUGUUCUCAAGAAGCAUGUACGAGAAGUUGUGUGUAGCUAAGCCACGGGGCAGCUGCUGUUGUGGUAGCAAUGGUAGCAAGUGUUGUUGUGAUUGUUAGCUAGGUGAGCUUGUUUACACCCGAAAGGACUGAGCUGUUUGUGUGGCUGUGGUUCCGUUAUCUGUGGUGCAUCGAUGUAGAGUUUAAUGAGCCUAUUUAUCUACCUGGAUAUAAUGAGAAAACAUUGCAAUACUGAGAUGUAUUGUAUGUACUCAUUAAAUGAUUAUAGUUGGCUAGCAGUGGAGAAGUAAGUUUGGAGUGGAGGUUUUGCA